rnacentral:rRNA from 1 species
UACAGAGGUCUCAAGCGUUGUUCGGAUUCAUUGGGCGUAAAGGGUGUGUAGGUGGCGCCGUAAGUCGGGUGUGAAAUUUCGGAGCUUAACUCCGAAACUGCAUUCGAUACUGCGGUGCUUUGAGGACUGGAGAGGAGACUGGAAUUCAUGGUGUAGCAGUGAAAUGCGUAGAGAUCAUGAGGAAGACCAGUGGCGAAGGCGGGUCUCUAGGACAGUUCCUGACACUGAGACACGAAGGCCAGGGGAGCAAACGGG